rnacentral:rRNA from 1 species
AUUGAACGCUGGCGGCAUGCCUUACACAUGCAAGUCGAACGGUAACAGGUCUUCGGAUGCUGACGAGUGGCGAACGGGUGAGUAAUACAUCGGAACGUGCCCGAUCGUGGGGGAUAACGGAGCGAAAGCUUUGCUAAUACCGCAUACGAUCUACGGAUGAAAGCAGGGGACCGCAAGGCCUUGCGCGGACGGAGCGGCCGAUGGCAGAUUAGGUAGUUGGUGGGAUAAAAGCUUACCAAGCCGACGAUCUGUAGCUGGUCUGAGAGGACGACCAGCCACACUGGGACUGAGACACGGCCCAGACUCCUACGGGAGGCAGCAGUGGGGAAUUUUGGACAAUGGGCGAAAGCCUGAUCCAGCCAUGCCGCGUGCAGGAUGAAGGCCUUCGGGUUGUAAACUGCUUUUGUACGGAACGAAAAGCCUCUUUCUAAUAAAGAGAGGUCAUGACGGUACCGUAAGAAUAAGCACCGGCUAACUACGUGCCAGCAGCCGCAGUAAUAC